rnacentral:rRNA from 1 species
UACGUAGGGGGCAAGCGUUGUCCGGAAUCAUUGGGCGUAAAGAGCGUGUAGGCGGCCCGGUAAGUCCGCUGUGAAAGUCGGGGGCUCAACCCUCGAAUGCCGGCGGAUACUGUCGGGCUAGAGUCCGGAAGAGGCGAGUGGAAUUCCUGGUGUAGCGGUGAAAUGCGCAGAUAUCAGGAGGAACACCGGUGGCGAAGGCGGUUCUCUGGGCCUUACCUGACGCUGAGGAGCGAAAGCGUGGGGAGCGAGCAGG